GGGAAUCUUGGACAAUGGGGGCAACCCUGAUCCAGCGACGCCGCGUGGGUGACGAAGGCCUUCGGGUUGUAAAGCCCUUUUGCCGGGGACGAUGAUGACGGUACACGGAGAAUAAGGACCGGCUAACUCCGUGCCAGCAGCCGCGGUAAGACGGAGGGUCCUAGCGUUGUUCGGAAUUACUGGGCGUAAAGGGCGCGUAGGCGGCCUGUUAAGUCGGGUGUGAAAGCCCGGGGCUCAACCCCGGAACGGCAUCCGAGACUGGCGGGCUCGAGACCGGGAGAGGAGGGUGGAAUACCCAGUGUGGAGGUGAAAUUCGUAGAUAUUGGGUGGAACACCGGUGGCGAAAGCGGCUCUCUGGACCAGUACUGACGCUGAGGCACGAAAGCGUGGGGAGCAAA
rnacentral:rRNA from 1 species